rnacentral:rRNA from 1 species
UCCGUAGGUGAACCUGCGGAAGGAUCAUUGGAGAUUGGGAUGAGGAGAGAGUUGGAAUGAGAGAGAGAAUGAAAUAAUACAAUAAUAUCAAAUAAACACACAACUGCUGACAAUGGAUCUCUGGGCUCUUGCGUCGAUGAAGAACGCAGCAAAACGCGAAAUGUGUUAUGAAGUGCAGUCUUUGUGAAUCAUGAAUCUUUGAACGCACCUUGCACCACUAGUGAUAGUGGUAUGUCUGUUUGAGGGAGGGAAUAAGUGGAUUGUGUCUGGGAUGGGGUGUGUGCGAUGUGUUGCACUGCCUUGAAAUACAGUUAGAACUGGUGAUUGGGAUAAUCUUGCAAUCACCACACAACAAAAUCUCCUCAAAUCAGGCAAGAUGACCCGCUGAACUUAA